UACAUUUGCAUCGCUUUUGGUUCCCGGUUAUGUUGACCGGGAUUAAAAGGGAAUACGGUGUGAUUCCGUAACUGUCCCGCAGCUGUAAGCUCUGUAACGGUGUUCAAAUCGAAGCCACUUUUUAUCCAGUAAGGAAGGAUGAUUGGGAAGGCAGAACAUCCGGGAGUAAGUCAGAAGACCUGCCAUAAGUGGUAAUAUUUC
rnacentral:ncRNA from 2 species